rnacentral:rRNA from 1 species
CGGCGUGCCUAACACAUGCAAGUCGUACGAGAAAGCCGGCUUCGGCUGGUGAGUAAAGUGGCGCACGGGUGAGUAACGCGUGGAUAAUCUGCCCUUAAGUGUGGAAUAACGUACCGAAAGGUGCGCUAAUACCGCAUAAUGCCUGGCAACACAAGUUGUCCGGCCAAAGAAGGCCUCUGUUUACAAGCUUUCGCUUCAGGAUGAGUCCGCGUACCAUUAGCUUGUUGGUGGGGUAAUGGCCUGCCAAGGCUGCGAUGGUUAGCUGGUCUGAGAGGAUGAUCAGCCACACUGGAACUGAGACACGGUCCAGACUCCUACGGGAGGCAGCAGUGAGGAAUAUUGCGCAAUGGGGGCAACCCUGACGCAGCAACGCCGCGUGAGUGAGGAAGGUUUUCGGACUGUAAAGCUCUGUCGAGCGGGAAGAAGUGUACCAUGGCUAAUAUCCAUGAUAUUUGACGGUACCGCUAGAGGAAGCACCGGCUAACUCCGUG